AAUGGAAAUUAACAUUUAUUGGUUACCAGUUAUAUGCCAGGCAUUGUGCUUGGCACUCUUCACACUUUAUUUAAACUGUUAAUACUUGGAAUCUUUUAACACAGUGCCUAGCACAUAGUAAGCUCCCAAAUGUUUGCUGCUGUUGUUACCUCUUUACAACCAUAUAAUCCAUUCUCCAAAUACAUUGUGGGAGGAUAUAAACUUAUAAUAAAGACAUUAUAAUCCUUGCCUUAUGGACAAGGAAACUGAGGCUCAGAGAAGGUAUUUAUUUUGGCUAAUACAGUAGGUGGUAUAUUGUAAAACUGAGUUAAUCACAAUUUAAAGUCUCUUCAAGCUACUGAUAAGACAUCUGGUUAUACAUAAAAAUUCGAAGCUUACCUGAGUGAUCCUUUAUGUUUUUAAUAGAACAUCACUCAUGGCCUGUUCUCAAGAAAAUUACAGUAAUUGCAAAUCCUGAAAAAGUGAAGUCAAAAAAUAGACAUUCAGUUUUCCUACUGUAGCCCUGUGGAAAUUCUGUAGGUAUUGAGAACCUCUGGGGUCAGAGGAAACAGAUCAAGGUGACCCUUCAAAGCUCAAACAAUUCACUUCAAACAAACAUGGAGAAAGUACUGUUCACAAGUGAAUCAUUUCUCAUACUGAUGAAUGAAUAGAGUGUGUGUGUCACUUCUAUAUAGCUAGGACUUCAAUUAGACAGUAGCAUUGAGGGAGAGGAAGUGGGCUCUGAGGGUAUGGUCCUCAUCAUCUCUGACAUCUCCUGGCCACAUUAAUUCACUGAGCUUCUUAUGCACAUGACUAGUUUUGAGUAUGUGAAUUUGCUGAAAGGGAAACAUCCAAAGAAUGGUACCCCCUCAACAAGAUAGCUCAAGGGCAAGGACAACCUUUACUUCACUAUCCCAUAUAAUCACUCGUAUAGCCAAUAUAAAAUAAUAAUUACUACAAAUGAUAUUUUUUCCUAAAUUCCUACAAUUUAGAUUACAUUAAUUUUCAAAAAAUAAAUAUGCUUUACAGGAAGGUACAGAGAACAUAAAAAUAUAAAUAUUAAAGAAUAAAUGAUAAAAUAUGCUUCUUCAAGUAGUGAGCAUUGAACUGACUUGGUUCAAUUCUGAAUUUAGUUCUUUUUUUUGUUUCUGGGCAACUCUUAAAAUUUGAAGCCCAUGUAACAUAUACAAAAUGAUGUGUUUAAUGACAGGUUAUUUUCUGAGCUUCAAGUACAUGCAUAAAGAAAAAAAUACAGAAUAUUUUAUUCUAGAAAAAUAGGAUGAUAUAGGUCCUAAAUGUUCUUUGGGACUACUUUAAAUAACCAAUAUAACUAUCAAUGCAAACUUGGCACCCAGAUCUACUCUACUUACACCCCAAAUCAUAGUUUUACACAGUAUGUUUCACAAAGUACUGGGAAUAUCUUAGGCACUCAAGAACAAAUUGGUGGAGGGAGUGGGAAGGGCUGGGAGUUUGGGGUUUGUAGAUGCUAAAUAUUGCAUUUGGAGAGGAUAAGCAACUAGCUCCUGCUGUACAGCACAGGGAAUUAUAUCUAGUCAUUGUGAUAGAACAUGUAAUGAGAGAAAAAGAAUGUAUAUAUAUAUAUAUAUAUUUAUAUAUGUAUGACUGGGUCACUCUGCUGUAUAGCAGAAAUUGAGAGAACAUUGUAAAUCAACUAUAAUAAAAAACCUUAAAAAAAAAAGAACAAAUUGAUUAAAGACAUUUCAGUUUUAUCUUUUACCCAUUGGCUUCUAGCUAUACUUUACAUACCCUGAAUUUUUGCUAGAUAAGCCUUGUCCUCAAGUCACAAAAAAUUUCAUGGGAGAAAGCAAUAAGGUUUAAUUUUUAUGGAUAUUUUACAUGCUUUGAGAUAUUCAUCAAGAAGUCUAGAACCACAAUGUCUUAUGUAAUUUAAAAUUUAUCAGCAGCCAUAUUAAACAAUGGAUAAAUAGGGAAAUUAAUUUAACUCCAAAUAUCAAAAAUCCUUCAACAUGCAUAUAAAAAACUGAGAUGCUUUAUUUUUCCAUACUAAAUCUUUGAAAUUAAGUAUGCAGAGCUGUUUGUACAAACCACAUUUCAAGUGCUCAAUAGCCAUUGGUGGCAAGUACCUACUGUAUUAGAACAUGGCUAUAGUCUAAGCCCUUUCUAUCUCCAGUGUAAUAGUCAUCUUAAAAUGUACAAAAACAAAGCACAUAAAAGUGAAUCCAAAGUAAUAAUACCCUGUUAAAAUAGCAAGUGAAAGGUUAAAUGUUAGUGUUUCAUUUUUUCUAAUUAUUUAAACAAGAAAUUUUCUUUUGAGAGGCUUUGCUAGUUUCUUGACAUCAGUUUUACAAAUGGCCUUGAAAACUUUUCAUUAUCCCAUCAAAAGCCUUUUCUGGGUACUAGGUUAUCUUUCCAUUUGAAUUACUCGUCAUUCAAUAAAUAUCUGGUGACAACCAUCUGCAAAACAUUAUGCUAAGUGCACUAAAGAAAAGUAAAAGACAUCCCAUCUCUGCUUUCACAAAGCUUUCAAACUAGAAAGAAAGGGAGAGUGAAAAACAUGUGAGAGUUUCUCUCUGUAUUUUAUUUUACUGUAUCACUGUGUCUUUUUCUCCAAUUUUUUAACAACAAAGGGAAUGGACUUCUGGUUCUUAUCUUCCCAGGGCCUGAUGAAAUGUCUUAGUAUCUGAGAAAUUCACCAUAAUAAAUUAUUGUAUGUUAUUUUCUAGAUCAGAGGUCCCUACCAAGUACAUAAAGAAAUAUUUCAUCUUCCCUAAGAACAGGAAAACUGUAAGGCAGAAAAGUUAUCUAUGACAGGCCUUAAAGGAUCUGACAAAGACAGAAGAUGGUGAGGUUUGAAGAAAACAAGUUUCUACCGUUAAGUAUGAAGAUAGAAAAGUUUAUCACGUAUAAGAACUGUUUGCUUAUUAAAUGCACAAAGUGAAUUAAAAAAAGAGACUAAAUGACCUGAGAAUAUCAUUUAUAGAAAUAAAAAUGGAACCUUUAAGGAAGUAAAGGGGGGAGGAUGAUGCUGCAUGAGCUGUUUUUUUGGGGGGGAGGUGGAGGGGAGUGACAUUAUGUGUAACCAGUUGCAGUUGUUAACACUUUAAAGCAAAACAGCAGCAGCAAUAACCCUCCCCACGUCGGAGGGUACAGUAGCAGUGUUCCUCAUUUUCUUACCUUUGGGAUAACACCUACUACAUCCAUUUAAGAACUUUAAUAAUUCCACAAUCUGCUGUCACCUAGAAUAAUUUUUAUGCGCAGGGUGAGGAAUAAGAAAUCUAGUAGAGUAACAUGCUUUUUAUUUUACCAUCAUGCAUAUAAGGAAAGACAAAUAUACCAACGAUAUACCUUCAACCUGACAGAGCCAUCUCAUAAGUAUUUAGACUAUUUAGGAAAAGGGACACAUCAAUUACUAAGUUGCUAACAGGGCAAAGUAUCAAGUAAGACAAUUAAGCCACACAUUUUUAGUGAGUUAUUUUUCCAUGACAACAGUUUCCAAAGUCCUAAAAAUACGACAAGUUUUUCAAAUUAUAUUUCUAAGGAUACACUUUUUAACAGAAAUAAUAAGUUGAAAAUCAUUAGGCAUAUUCAGUUAAAGUCUCUAUAUUGUACAGGAAAAUAAGACUGUUAUUUUUCCAAAUGUUUCCAACUGAAAGCAAAAGGAAGCCUAUACAGCUCAAUUUUCUCAGCAGAAACCAGGGAAAAUAGCAGGAUUUUACCAUACACAAGUGAAAUAAGAGACAAAUUAUUAAUCUU
rnacentral:lncRNA from 1 species